UACAGAGGGUGCGAGCGUUAAUCGGAAUUACUGGGCGUAAAGCGCACGUAGGUGGCUUGGCAAGUCGGGUGUGAAAUCCCCGGGCUCAACCUGGGAACUGCAUUCGGGACUGCCUUGCUAGAGUAUGGGAGAGGGAAGUGGAAUUCCCGGUGUAGCGGUGAAAUGCGUAGAUAUCUGGAGGAACACCGGUGGCGAAGGCGGCAUCCUGGACCAACACUGACACUGAGGAGCGAAAGCCAGGGGAGCAAACGGG
rnacentral:rRNA from 1 species